rnacentral:rRNA from 1 species
UACAGAGGUCUCAAGCGUUGUUCGGAUUCAUUGGGCGUAAAGGGUGUGUAGGUGGCGCGCUAAGUCGGGUGUGAAAUUUCGGAGCUUAACUCCGAAACUGCAUUCGAUACUGCCGUGCUUGAGGACUGGAGAGGAGACUGGAAUUUACGGUGUAGCGGUGAAAUGCGUAGAUAUCGUAAGGAAGACCAGUGGCGAAGGCGGGUCUCUGGACAGUUCCUGACGCUGAGGCACGAAGGCCAGGGAGCAAACGGG